UACGAAGGGGGCUAGCGUUGUUCGGAAUUACUGGGCGUAAAGCGCACGUAGGCGGGUCUUUAAGUCAGGGGUGAAAUCCUGGAGCUCAACUCCAGAACUGCCUUUGAUACUGAAGAUCUUGAGUUCGGGAGAGGUGAGUGGAACUGCGAGUGUAGAGGUGAAAUUCGUAGAUAUUCGCAAGUACACCAGUGGCGAAGGCGGCUCACUGGCCCGAUACUGACGCUGAGGCACGAAAGCGUGGGGAGCAAACAGG
rnacentral:rRNA from 1 species